CCUACGGGAGGCAGCAGUGGGGAAUAUUGGACAAUGGGGGGAACCCUGAUGCAGCGACGCCGCGUGAGUGAAGAAGUAUUUCGGUAUGUAAAGCUCUAUCAGCAGGGAAGAAAAUGACGGUACCUGACUAAGAAGCCCCGGCUAACUACGUGCCAGCAGCCGCGGUAAUACGUAGGGGGCAAGCGUUAUCCGGAUUUACUGGGUGUAAAGGGAGCGUAGACGGUGCAGCAAGUCUGAGGUGAAAGGUCGGGGCUUAACCCCGGGACUGCAUUGGAAACUGUUGAACUGGAGUACAGGAGAGGUAAGCGGAAGUCCUAGCGUAGCGGUGAAAUGGGGAGAUAGUAGGAGGAACACCAGUGGCGAAGGGGGCUUACUGGACUGUAACUGACGUUGAGGCUCGAAAGCGUGGGGAGCAAACAGGAGUAGAGACCCUUGUAGUC
rnacentral:rRNA from 1 species